rnacentral:rRNA from 13 species
UGAGGUGAGAGGACCGGCCGAAUUUAAGCAUAUUAAUAAGCCGAGGAAAAGAAACUAACAAGGAUUCCCCUAGUAACGGCGAGUGAAGCGGGAAGAGCUCAAGUUGAGAAGCGUUGUCACUUGUGGCAUCGCGUUGUAAACUGAUGAGCGUGGGUCAGUGGUGGACCUGGGGGCAGGUUGUUUGGAACAACGCGUUAUAAAGGGUGAGAACCCCGUACAUACCCCGGAGAUCCCCACGUACGACUACGUUUCGAUGAGUCGUGUUGUUUGGGAUUGCAGCACUAAUUGGGAGGUAAGCUUCUUCCAAAGCUAAAUAUUAGCCGGAGACCGAUAGCGAACAAGUACCGUGAGGGAAAGAUGAAAAGAACUUUGGAAAGAGAGUUAAAAAGUACCUGAAAUUGCUAAGGGGGAAGUGAUGGAAAGUAACAUUGUAGGUUCAGUUCUAGGUUCGUCUGCUGAUGCUUUUCGCGUGUUUUCGGACCGCAGGGUGGGCACUGGCGUUCUGAUUGGCUGGAUUUGCUGUGUCAGCCUGGCUUUUGAUCGUGGGAAAAUGCCUAGUCAAUUGGCGACGGCGACUACCAUGUUGAAGAGUCAUUGGUUGGCGAAAUGGUUUUCAUCGACCCGUCUGGAAACACGGACCAAGGAGUCUGAC